rnacentral:lncRNA from 1 species
AGGAAAACCCUGUAUUGUCCUUCCUCAAAGCCUCCUUGUGCCAUGCUUUGCCAAACUGAAGAAAGCAUCUGACAUGGGUCUGAAGCAUUUCGACAUGCAGCUGCGUGGACAAGUCGGCCCCAGGAGCCAGUCCAGCUCCAGGUUCCCACCCAGCAAGGUAUCUCCCAUCACACAGUGAAGCAGCAGCUGAAGGUUGUCCUCACCCACUGCAGUGCCUCAGCUUACCAUAGGCUCCUUUGGCAUAGCAGGAAGAAAACCUGGCUUUAGAAGAGGCGUUCAGACAGGAAGCAGCAAUGUUCCAGGAGGAUUUCUGAGUGAAACGGGAGAGCAACUGGCUUCUCGAAGCGGAUAUUUCAGAGAUCCCUGAAUCAUGCUGCUGCACAGUUGGAGCAGUCAGGACCGAAGAACCAACACCCCGGGGUACCUGGACUUCCCCAGCACUUGCACACUGUGUUGGAGCUGAGCUGCACAAGCCUCUUUGGAGUGGAAGGAGAAAUCCCCAUGCUCUGGCUCAUGGGACAUCUCUGGGACCACAUGUACUUAGAUAACAGAAGAGCACAACUGGCUCAAGAACUCAAGAACGACAACGUGCUACAACGACGGCAGUGAGGUAAUUGUAAUACACGGGGAGACGUGCUGGGCUUUAACAUUUUUCCAGCCUUUUUGUAUUUCUCUGCAGUCGUUGCCGGCCAAUGAAGCUGAAGGGGGGUUUCCAUCGUCUCGGGCCCCAUCCCCGGGUAAGCAGCCCCCGCCGGUGACGCCUGAGCCACCAGCAGGUGGCAG